rnacentral:rRNA from 1 species
UACGGGGGGGGCAAGCGUUGUUCGGAAUUACUGGGCGUAAAGGGCUCGUAGGCGGCCAACUAAGUCGGAUGUGAAAUCCCCAGGCUUAACCUGGGAACUGCAUCCGAUACUGGAUGGCUUGAAUCCGGGAGAGGGAUGCAGAAUUCCAGGUGUAGCGGUGAAAUGCGUAGAUAUCUGGAGGAAUACCGGUGGCGAAGGCGGCGUCCUGGACCGGCAUUGACGCUGAGUGAGCGAAAGCUAGGGGAGCAAACGGG